rnacentral:rRNA from 1 species
UGGGGAAUAUUGCACAAUGGGCGCAAGCCUGAUGCAGCCAUGCCGCGUGUAUGAAGAAGGCCUUCGGGUUGUAAAGUACUUUCAGCGGGGAGGAAGGGAGUAAAGUUAAUACCUUUGCUCAUUGACGUUACCCGCAGAAGAAGCACCGGCUAACUCCGUGCCAGCAGCCGCGGUAAUACGGAGGGUGCAAGCGUUAAUCGGAAUUACUGGGCGUAAAGCGCACGCAGGCGGUUUGUUAAGUCAGAUGUGAAAUCCCCGGGCUCAACCUGGGAAAUGCAUCCGAUACUGGCAAGCUUGAGUCUCGUAGAGGGGGGUAGAAUUCCAGGUGUGGCGGUGAAAUGCGUAGAGAUCUGGAGGAAUACCGGUGGCGAAGGCGGACCCCUGGACGAAGACUGACGCUCAGGUGCGAAAGCGUGGGGAGCAAACAGG